GACGAACGCUGGCGGCGUGCUUAACACAUGCAAGUCGAACGGAAAGGCCCGGAAGUUGUGGUGUGCUCAAGUGGGGAACGAGUGAGUAAGAAGUGAGUAACCUGCCCUUGACUUUGGGGUAACUUCAGGAAACAAGGGACAAUACCGGACAGAAACUCCCUCUGCAUGGCAGGGGGGGGAAAGUUACGGCGGUCGGGGAUGGUCGCGCGGCAAAGCAGCUGGUGGGUGGGGUAGUGUAUUACCAAGGCGUUGACGGGUAGCCGGACUGGGAGGGUGACCGGCCACAUUGGGACUGGGAUACGGCCCAGACUGCUACGGGCGGCAGCAGUGGGGAUUAUUGCACAAUGGGCGGAAGCCUGAUGCAGCAACGCCGCGUGCGGGAUGACGGCCUUCGGGUUGUAAACCGCUUUCGCCUGUGACGAAGCGUGAGUGACGGUAAUGGGUAAGGAAGCACCGGCUAACUACGUG
rnacentral:rRNA from 1 species